rnacentral:lncRNA from 1 species
AGUUUUGAGCAUGUUCAUGCAUCAUGAAUGCCAUGUGAUGAAUUAGGUUGUAUGCAUUAGAAUUCACGAAUAUGUUGCAUUGCAUUUAUGAUGUUGAUGUGGAUUGGUUAUUGGAUGAUCCUUUAGUCCUCAUAUGAUAUGAUGAUGUUACGGCAUGAUAUGGUAUGGAAGUCCAGGUUGUACCCAUUCUACGUCCCUGGCACGAUGUAAGAGAAAGUCCAGGUUGUACCCAUUCUACGUCCCUGGCACAUUGGAAUGCUAUGUUAUGUUAUGUUAAGAGAAAGACCGGUUGACCCAUUCUACGUCCCGGCACUUUGGAAUGUAGAGGACUAUUGGUGACAAUACCAUCCGAGAUGUGAUUUGUUGUGAUGUGUUGCAUUACAUGAUGGCAUGAGAUUUUAAAUGUUUUAUUAUUCUGCUCACUGGGCUCUAGUAGCUCACCCCUUUCCCUAAUCCCCCAGGAUUGCAGGUACGGGCUAAUCAGAGAAGUCAAGAAGAGUGAAGUCUUAUUUUUGUAAUAGAUAGAAAGUGGACAUGAUAAAUUGUAUAAUGAUGUAAUGUUAUGAUUAGUUAUGUUAUGUAUAAUGGUAUUGAGGAUUAGAAGUUGUGCUUGACCCUAUGGUUAUUGUUAUCCCUUUUAUUACAUGAUCUCAGAUAUUUAUGUCGUAGAUGUUAACCAACUCAACAUAUGUAUGUAGCCUGUUGGGGCAUUGAUGGGAUCCCACAGAGGGAAUCAUGUUUAUAGUAUGUUUAUGUUCAGUGCAUGCACAGGUUGAGGUUGGUACAUGAGUAUAUGUAUGAAAGAAAAGUUUUAAAUUUUUAUGUAUGUUGUGGAUCAUGUAUGGGAUUAAACAGGUUUACAGGUUACAUGUUAGGCUUGCUACGGGUCCCGGCGGCCUUAAGCCGACCUGAAUCCUAGAGCCGGUAGCGGUCCGAUUUUCGGGUCGUUACAGAAUGGUAUCAGAGCCCUAGGUUCAUAUGGUCGGACCUAGAGUGUCGGGCUCAUAGAGGUUAUAGAAGGUCAAGCACAAUAGGAAGAUCAUGUCCACUAGGAUAGGAUAUGGAGUCCUGUCUUGUUUGAUGAUGUGAAAUGCCAUGAUUUUAUACAUGUGCAUUAAUGCUAUGAUAUGUAUGUGAUGAGGGUUCAUGUGGGAUGCUAAUGUUUGCUUGAUUACGUGCUGUUUUUCAGAAAUAGGAUGAGAGGAACUCGUCGAUCUGCACGAUUGACUGGAGUACCACCUGAGGAUGAGGGCACGAGCGCCCGUCCUCCAGCAUUGCCUAGGGCAAUGUCUAGUAGGUCUAACAGAGAAAGAACAGUAAGAGACCCUAAGAGGUCUUUGGAUCUGGGUAGAAGCAGAUCAGUGAGGGGAACAGUUCAGGGAGUAAUGUCAGAGGACAUGGGGCAUGAUAUGGACGUGGAGCAAAGGAGGGAUGGCAGUCUGGGAGUUAGCAUAUCAGAAGAAGGAAUGGGAGAGUCCCAAGGAGGCACUCAGGCCUCGGGAUUUGUUCAGCCACCUUACUACCCACCCUUCUCACAAAACCCCGGUUAUUCGAUGGGAGGUACAUCGGAUUACCAUAGCUUUAACCCUUAUCCCACACAGAUGCCAUACCCACCUUACUAUCCACCAUACCCACAGUAUCCAAUGUAUCCACCCCCGCCCUACCAUCCAAAUCCAGCAAACCCUAUCCCAGGGGAUGCUGCACCUCCUCCUCCACCAGUAGAACCCUCAAUUCCAGAGAACCCAAUACCUAAGCCUAGCUCAUCUGGAGGUAGCAAGGUCAAGAUGACCGACUACAUGAAGUUGGGUGCUCCUCAGUAUGAAAAAGGAGAUGACCCGUUUGUGUAUCUUGAGAGGGUAAAGGUGAUCACAGAUGAGAUUGGGGCAGAUGAUAGUAGAGCCAUUCAGAUGGCUGGGUUCACGCUUAAGUGCAAGAAGGCACGAGAGUGGUUCAAAAAUUAUGUGAACCCGAGAGUGGACAGCAUGUCUUGGGAGGAGUUUGCAAACGAGUUUGCAGGAUGGGCUUUCCCAGAUAGUUCAAGGGAGCUGAAGAUGAUAGAGUUUGAGCAGUUGAGGCAGACUGAUGAGAUGAGUGUAGAGGAGUUCACAGACAGGUUCUUGGAGCUGUUGCCAUUUGCAGGGCAAAACUUUGACACAGACCAGAAGAAGUCAAGGAGGUAUAUCAUGAAACUCCACUCCAGAUAUUCCUCCUUGAUACAGUCAGCAGACAGGGAAAGCUUCCAUGCCAUAGUGGAUAUGGCUCGGAAAAUAAAGGCCAGUGCCAUCGUUCAGGGAACAGUCAAACAGUCAGUGGCACAGCCUUCUGGUUCCAAGACCCCAGGCUCUUCUUCUCUGAGUGCAGCAGCUUCAGGUAGCAAAAGGUGGAGUAACACCACUAGGAAGCCCAAGAAGAACAAGUUUUGGAACAAAGUCAAGUCCAGUCUGGGACUAGGGAGUGGCUCAAGCUCUGGUGCGGAUAAUGCAGUUUGUGCAAAGUGUAGUAGGCCACACAGGGGAGUUUGCCGGGCUGGGACAGCAGCCUGCUUCAGAUGCGGGCAAGAGGGACACAUGGCUCGGGAGUGUCCUAGGGCAGUUUUUGGAGCACAGUCUCAGCAGACAGCUUCUGGUAGUGUGGCUCAACCAGCAGCUCCAGCCAUGACUCAGGCCAGUGGCAGAGGCAGAGGGAGAGGGGCAGCCUCUUCUUCAGCGGGUUUCAGAGGUGAAGGUCCAUCAGCUCCAGCACGGAUCUUCACAAUGACUCAACAGGAAGCAGAUGCAUCUAACACCGUGGUGGCAGGUAACUUAGUCAUUGGUUGUUCAGAUGUGUAUGUCUUGAUGGACCCUGGUGCAUCUCAUUCAUUUAUUGCUCCGAGAGCCGUCCAGAGGUUGGGGUUGAUGAUCUCUAAGUUAGAGUGUCCUCUCUGGGUCAGUGGACCCAAGUGUGAUCCAUCAGUGGCAGAGUCAGUCUGCCAGUGUAGUCCCGUGUUUGUUGAGGGGAGAUGCUUGUCCGCCGACCUUGUGGUUCUAGAUUUGACAGAUUUUGACGUCAUUCUAGGGAUGGACUGGUUAUCUACCCAUGGUGCUACCUUGGACUGCAGGGACAAGGUAGUCAGGUUCAGAGGUCAGGAUGGAUCAGAGGUUGUCUUCAGGGGAGACAGGAGGGGUACACCUAGAGGUCUGAUAUCAGCUCUUCAGGCUCGUAGGUUGAUUAGGAAGGGAUGUCAGGGGUAUUUGGCUCAUGUGAGAGAGCUUAGCAGUCAGAUUAGAGAGCCCGCCUCGGUGCCAGUGGUUAGAGAGUUUCUAGACGUCUUCCCAGACGAGCUGCCAGGUUUACCACCUGCUAGGGUGAUAGAGUUCGAGAUAGAACUGAUGCCUGGAACCCGACCGAUCUCUAUUCCUCCCUACAGGAUGGCUCCAGCGGAGUUGAAAGAAUUGAUAGAACAGUUGCAAGAGCUGGUAGACAAGGGCUUCAUCCGACCGAGUACCUCACCUUGGGGUGCUCCAGUUUUGUUUGUAAGAAAGAAGGAUGGAUCCCUUAGACUUUGCAUCGACUACAGGCAGUUGAACAAAGUCACUACCAAGAACAAGUACCCAUUGCCAAGGAUCGAUGAUCUAUUCGACCAGCUAGCAGGAGCGGGUUGUUUCUCCAAAAUAGAUAUGAGAUCUGGGUAUCAUCAGUUGAGGAUCAGAGGAGAAGAUGUGCCAAAGACAGCUUUCAGGACCAGAUAUGGGCAUUUUGAGUUCCUUGUAAUGCCGUUCGGGUUAACCAACGCCCCUGCAGCAUUCAUGGAUCUCAUGAACAGAGUGUUUAGCCAGUACCUGGAUCACUUCGUUAUUGUCUUCAUAGAUGAUAUCUUAGUGUAUUCCAGGAAUGCAGAAGAGCAUGCCCAUCAUCUGAGGUUGGUUUUGCAGACCUUGAGGGAGCAUGGCUUAUAUGCCAAGUUCUCCAAGUGCGAGUUCUGGCUAAGGAGCAUUUCAUUCUUGGGGUAUGUGGUGUCAGAAAAUGGGAUUAAGGUAGACCCCAAGAAGAUAGAAGCUGUGGCUAACUGGCCUAGACCCACUUCAGUGACAGAAAUUAGGAGUUUCUUGGGUUUGGCAGGUUAUUACAGGAGGUUCGUUCAGGACUUCUCAAAGAUUGCAGCUCCUCUGACCAGGUUAACCAGGAAGAAUCAAAGGUUUGUGUGGACCGACCAGUGCGAAGAGAGUUUUGAAGAGCUUAAGAAGAGGUUGACUUCAGCACCAGUGUUAGCUCUGCCAUCUAGUAAUGAGGACUUUAUCGUCUUUUGUGAUGCGUCCCGUGUGGGACUGGGUGUACUAAUGCAGAAUGAGUGGGUGAUUGCUUAUGCUUCUAGACAGUUGAAGAAGCAUGAGUUGAAUUACCCCACGCAUGACCUAGAAAUGGCAGCAGUAAUCUUUGCACUCAAGAUGUGGAGGCACUACCUCUAUGGGGUAAAAUGUGAGAUCUUUACAGAUCAUAAGAGCCUGCAGUACAUCCUGAGUCAAAGAGAUUUGAACUUGAGACAGAGGAAAUGGGUAGAGCUGCUGAGUGACUAUGAUUGCAAGAUUCAGUAUCAUCCGGGUAAGGCGAAUGCCGUGGCAGACGCCCUAAGCCGGAAAUCACUAGGCAGUCUAUCCCACAUCACGGCAGAGAGGAGACCAGUGGUGAAGGAGUUUUACAAGCUCAUUGAGGAAGGCCUACAGUUGGAGUUGUUUGGUACAGGUGCUUUAGUGGCCCAGAUGAAAGUGACACCUGUGUUUCUGGAGCAGGUGGCUCAGAAACAGCACGAGGAUCCAGAGUUAGUGAAGAUUGCCAGGACUGUUCAGUCAGGCAAGGACAGUGAUUUCAGAUUUGACAGUAAGGGGAUCCUCCGCUAUGGGAGUCGAUUGUGUGUACCAGAUGACAUAGGGCUAAAAGGAGACAUUAUGAGGGAGGCUCAUAAUGCAAGAUACAGAGUUCACCCCGGAGCCACCAAGAUGUAUCAAGAUCUGAAGAAAGUUUAUUGGUUGUCAGCCAUGAAGAAAGAAGUGGCACAAUUCGUGUCAGCCUGCGAAGUGUGUCAGAGGGUGAAGCUGGAACAUCAGAAGCCGGCUGGAAUGCUUAACCCGCUACCUAUUCCAGAGUGAAAAUGGGAGAAUAUAGCUAUGGACUUCGUAGUGGGGUUACCGGCGACGUCCAACAGAUUGGACUCCAUAUGGGUGAUUGUGGACAGACUCACCAAAUCUGCUCACUUCAUCCCUGUCAGGAGUGGCUAUUCUGUGGACAAGUUGGUGCAGGUGUAUGUUGAUGAGAUCGUCAGGCUGCAUGGGGUUCCUGUUUCAAUAGUGUCCGAUAGAGGACCCCAGUUCACCUCCAGGUUUUGGCGGAGUCUGCAGAAUGCUAUGGGUACCAGGUUGGAUUUCAGUACUGCCUUCCAUCCACAGACAGACGGACAGUCAGAGAGGACCAUCCAGACCAUAGAAGAUAUGCUUAGAAUGUGUGUGCUGGACUUUGGCGGUUCUUGGAGGCAGCAUCUACCCUUGGUGGAGUUUGCCUACAAUAACAGCCAUCAUGCUAGCAUCGGGAUGGCUCCAUAUGAAGCUUUGUAUGGAAGGAAGUGCAGGUCACCUGUGUGUUGGGAGGAAGUUGGAGAGAAGGCCUUGGCAGGCCCUGAGCUUGUUGAGAUCACCAGCAGGGUGGUGCCCAUAAUCAGAGAAAGGAUCAAGACUGCUGCAAGCAGACAGAAGAGUUAUGCAGACAUCCGCAGAAGACAGAUAGAGUUUCAGGAGGGGGAUCUGGUAUUGCUUAAGGUGUCUCCAAUGAAAGGAGUGGUUCGGUUCGGGAAAAAAGGUAAGCUGGCUCCACGGUACUUCGGACCCUUUGAAGUCCUGCAAAGGAUUGGGAAUGUAUCGUACAAGCUGGAUUUACCUGCUUCAAUGGUAAGAAUCCAUCCGGUUUUCCAUGUUUCCAUGUUAAGAAAGUUUGUGUCAUAUCCGGACAAGGUUCUUAGUGAGCCAGAUGUGGAGAUCCAAGAGGAUCUCACCUAUGUUGAGCAGCCAGUACGGAUCCUAGACACCCAGAUCAGGAAGCUGAGAAACAACGAAAUCCCGAUGGUGAAGGUUCUUUGGAACCACCAUAAUAUGGAUGUAAUACCCGGCUCGAGUCCGGCAUCGAAAUUCCUGUAGUCCGGUGGAAUCUCGGGUGUCGGAACCCUCGAGAAGGGAAUGCAUAUGUUUUCCAAGGUAUUGUCACUUGUUUUCAUGUUUUGAAGUGUUAAAAGAUUUGAGUUUUGAAAGAAAGGCAACAAGGGAGAAAUGCAAAGGUUCGGCCGCCGAAGGUCACUUUCGGCCGCCGAACAUUGCAUGGUUGCGGCUUCACGUUCGGCUGCCGAAGGUGGUCUGGCCAGCCACCUAUAAAAGGGCCAAGGGUCGGUGGAAGGAGGUUAUUUCUCCUCCACUUGCAGCCAGAGGUGAGUUUCAGCCUCUCCCACAUUGACUUUCAUGUUUUCCAUGAUGUUCAUCAAAUCUUUCAAGAGUUUUAAGAGUUUUGGUGACUUAUGAAGGUUUUGAGCAAAAGAACCAAGUUUUGAAGCUUGGAGCUUUGGAAGAGCUUUUCUUCAUAUCUCCACGUUAGGAUCCUUCAUCCUCAAGUUGUGUAAGAGGUAAGUGAAGAUCCUGAGCUUCUUUGAUGAUUUUGAAAGGUUUUAUGUAGUUUGUAUGGGUAGUAUGCAUGUUUAGGUUUAGGUGAGGGUUUUGAUGAUUUGUGGUGUUCCAACAUGUGUAAGUGUUAUGUGCUAUGUUUGUUUGGGGUUUUAGGGUAGUUUUAGACCCCUUGUGCAUAUAUAUGUGUCUAUGCUAGUUGGGAGUAGUUGAUAUGCAUGUUUGUAGGUUUUUGGGCAAAGUUUGCAUGAAACAGAGCAGGGUUCUGUCCUUCGGGCAAAACCAGGUUCGGCCGCCGAAGGAAGGUUCGGCCGCCGAACCCCUUGUGGAGGCAGUUUCGGCUGCCAAAGGUUGCCCCCGAAAGCUAGGCUUUCGGUUUAGACAGAGACUUUCGGCCGCCGAAAGAGGGAGUUCGGCCGCCGAAAGUGUGUGCGUUUCGUCUCUGGACGAGACCUUCGGCCGCCGAAGGUGCCGCCGAACAUGCAUGAGUUUCGUCUCUGGAGAGGGGUUUCGGCCGCCGAACCUGCCGCCGAAAGUGCCCUGUCCAGCUUUCUUUUGCAUGUUUUAUGUGAUGGUUUUAGGAUUGUUUAGAGGGGUUUUGGGGAGUUUCUUCGAGAUAGUCGUGAGUGAGUUUGGUCCCUCAUUUGAGUCCACCUGUGUAGGUACGGACCAGAGGAAUCAGGGAGGUUAGCAGUGAGUCCAGUGUCAGAACCUGCAGAGUCAGUUCAGAGAUAACUACAGGUGAGUGGAACUUAACUUAAUGUUUUAAUAUGAGAACUGAAUAUUUUAUCAUGCUUCAUGCAUCAUGACUAUGCAAUAGGGUGAGUGCAUUAGAGUACACGAAUAUGACGCAUUGCAUCUAUCCUUGUACUUGGCAUGGCUCCUUGUACAUUGCUUAUGUGAGACGGCACGGACUUUGUGAGGAUUUAUUAGCCCUCAGAGGAAAGACCUGGAACAGCCCUACGGGGACCAGGCACAAAGACCUGGAACAGCCCUACGGGGACCAGGCACAUGGUACUCCGGUACCCCAGAUGAGAUAGAGGGAGUUUUGAUCCGUCCGGCCGAGGUGAUGUGAUUAUGUGAUGCAUUCCAUGAGAGCAUGUUUUAUCACCUGUUAUUUUAUUCCUAUUCUACUCACUGGGCUAUAGUAGCUCAUCCCUCUCCCCUAACUCCAGUUGUGCAGGUUCAGAGGUCAGAGAGAACUCAGCAGAGUACAGGAAGAGUACAGAGUGGUGUAAUAGCUAGUGUGGAUAUGUAAAUGUAAAGAGAUAAGGUUUAUGUAUAGUGUAUAGAAUGGUGCUUGACUAUAAAAGUUGUAAUCCCUUGUUCUUUUCACAUGAUCAGUUUAUGUUUACAUAUAUUGUUGUAUGUUUAUGAGCAAAACCAGGCUUAACAUUAUGAGUGUGAUCCGCCUAGAGCCAUGAGGAGCUCUAGUAGGGAUUGGUAUAGAACAGAGAGAGUGCAUGCACAGGUUAAGCCUUGGAAUGAAGAAAAGUUUUAUGUUUUUACAGCAAAUGUAUGAUCAUGUAUGGGAUUUCACAGGUAUACAGACAGGAUAGCAGGCUUACUACGGGUCCCGGCGACCUUAAGUCGAUCUGGAUCCUAGUGCCGGUGGCAGUUCGGUUUCCGGGCUGUUACAAUGGAAGAAUGCACUUGGGAGACACGAGAGUCCAUGCUCCAGCAAUACCCUUAUCUUUUCUGAGGUUAGUCCCUUAUGAGUUUUAUGUGUUUUGUAUGUAUGAUAUGUGUAUGCCAUGCUAUGUGCUAGUUGAGGAACAUUCAGGGACGAUUGUUCUUAAGGGGGGGAGAAUGUAAUACCCGGCUAGACUCCGGUAUCGGAAUUCCAACUGUCCGGUGGAAUCUCGGAUGUCGGAGACCUCUAGAAGGGUAAAACCAUGUUUUCAUAAAAAUGUUUUAAGGUAUUUUAUGAUUUUAAGUAAAAAGGAAAUGAGUUUUUGCAUGAAAAUAAUCUUGGAGGAAAACCCAGGUUCGGCCGCCGAACCUCAAGUUCGGCCGCCGAACAUGCAUGCAUUUCGGGUGUGCCUUAGGCCCCCGAAGGCAUAAGUGAGGGAAGUCCAGGUUCGGCCGCCGAACCUCAGGUUCGGCCGCCGAACAUGGCAUGCAUGCGGGGGCACGUUCGGCUCCCGAAUGUGGCCUGGCCAGCCACUAUAAAAGAGUCCCUUAGCCGAAAUGGGCGAGGUUUCUCCCCAUUUUCGGCCAAUGUGAGCCCUUCCACCAUCCCUCAUCAAUCUUUGAGUUCUUCCUUCAAAUCUUUCACGAUUUUCACUAGUUUUCAUCUUAUUUUGAAGAUUUUCGAGUUUAAAGCAAGUUUUGGAGCUUUGAGGUUCAAGAACUCAAAUCUCUCCCAUCUUCGAGCUAAGGUCGUCUCUCUCUCGAUCUUCAAGAGGUAAGGGUCGAUCUUGAGCUUGUAGUAUGUUUUAAACAAGUUUUAUGUAGAUCUAUGGGGUAGAAAUGCAUGUGUAGGUUUUUAUUGAGUUUUGAUGAUUUUUGAGUUUAUGAACAAUGUGGCUUGGAUUGUGUUGUUGUUGUGUGUUGUAGUUGGGGUUUAAGAUAGUUUGAAGCCCCUAGGAGCCAAUGUAUGUAUUUUUGCAUGAUUUGAAUGAGUUAUAUGCAUGAUGGAAUGAGAAGGAGAGGUUUUUGUGCAAAGGGAACCAAGUUUCUGCCCUUUGGCAGAAACCAGGUUCGGCAGCCGAAGGGGCUUUCGGCCGCCGAACCUGCUUGGGUUUCGGCUCUGGAGGGACUUUCGGCUGCCGAACCUGCCGCCGAAAGUGCCCUGUUCAGCCUUCCUUUGCAUGUUUUGCAUGAUUGUUUUGAGGUGUUUUAGGGGGUUUUUGGGGGAUGUUUUUAGAGUUAUGUUUUAGUUGUUUGGUCUCUCAUUUGAGUCCACCUAUGUAGGUGCGGACCCGAGGAACCGAGGACCCCAGCAGUGAGUCAGCUGCUUCAGUCAUUGUCAGAGCUAGCCAGAGGUGAGUAGAAUAAACCUUUAUGAUUUAAAGCAAAUAAAUUACAAGUUUUGAGCAUGUUCAUGCAUCAUGAAUGCCAUGUGAUGAAUUAGGUUGUAUGCAUUAGAAUUCACGAAUAUGUUGCAUUGCAUUUAUGAUGUUGAUGUGGAUUGGUUAUUGGAUGAUCCUUUAGUCCUCAUAUGAUAUGAUGAUGUUACGGCAUGAUACGGUAUGGAAGUCCAGGUUGUACCCAUUCUAUGUCCCUGGCACAUUGGAAUGCUAUGUUAUGUUAUGUUAAGAGAAAGACCGGUUGACCCAUUCUACGUCCCGGCACUUUGGAAUGUAGAGGACUAUUGGUGACAAUACCAUCCGAGAUGUGAUUUGUUGUGAUGUGUUGCAUUACAUGAUGGCAUGAGAUUUUAAAUGUU